CUCGUAGGCGGUUUGGUAAGUCGGGUGUGAAAACUUGAGGCUCAACCUCAAGAGGCCACCCGAUACUGCUAUGACUAGAGUACGGUAGGGGAGCGGGGAAUUCCUGGUGUAGCGGUGAAAUGCGCAGAUAUCAGGAGGAACACCAGUGGCGAAGGCGCCGCUCUGGGCCGUAACUGACGCUGAGGAGCGAAAGCGUGGGUAGCAAACA
rnacentral:rRNA from 1 species